UUCAGCAAAAACAGUCUCUCACCCUUCUGUCUCCAAUUAAAGACAAAUCCUGACCUUUGCUGGGUUGGGUUGGAGGAUCCCUCCUCACCUUUCAAUCACUAAUGAAUCCUAAGUGGUGCCAUGACAUUUGAGAAUGAAAAAUUACAUUCUUGGUUCAUUUAUUCCAGGGAUUUGAAAGUGGUGACUGCACAAAACAGGAAUAUUCUGAAGACAAGGACAAGCCUGUGACAGUGUAAAUGGCUAUAAAUAUCACCAAUUCCUUCCGUUGCUCUGCUGUGUUAUGAGUCAGUGGGACACAACGUUUCAGGACUCGGAUUGGCAUCCCCUGGCUCACUCCACAGACAUCAAAGCAAAGUGAGAAGAAGGUGUAUUGGACUAUUGGACUGACUGAAAGCCUUUGCACAGACCCUUUGCCUGGAAUGAGACUCCAUCCAAGAAGAAAAUAACCCCUCUGUCCCCUCUGAGAAUAUUGCUGUCUGAUGCAACAUUCAGGCUCCAGGAUGGGAAGAUGAGAACCACUGCACCCUUAACCCUCUUCUACCAAGGCAUGUGAUAGCAGUCAGGUCUGAUUGAAAUUCUGUGAGUGUGUGACUCAGUUUUCACUUGCAGCCUGGGAGAAAAACAGUAGGAAAACCAAAGGUAGAAAUGGAUAAAGCAGAACUCCUCACUUUACUGCCCUCAAUCCAGUUAGUCCUAACAGAAUGAGAACCAACACAUCCUUGGCGCAUGUAGUAGCAGAAUGUCCAGGAACAUCUCACCCUGCUGUUUCCCAAAAUCCAGUGUAUAACUGCCGUAGUGGGGACCUGCCAACGGUGGUGUUCACUGACUGACAUGUGGUUUUCUACUGUGUGAUUAAACUGGAGACAGUCCAAUAUUCCCAAGACUAGCACCUUCAGAAUACUCCUGGAGUCCCUUUUAGCUGACUGGAGAGAAUAAUGCCUUGAAUCAUGGUUAUUGGUGUGCUAUGUAAUAAAAGCACGAAAACGCUUAUCAAGGAUGGUGACAGUGUCAAGCUAGUCUUGGUUACUGCAGUUAUUGUUAUAUCUACCCAAAAAAAUGAUGAAGACUUCUAGCAAAUCCUGCUGAGAAGUGGGAUUCUUGAUGCCCAAGGGAAAACUUCCCUCCUCUACAUUUGCCAGAACACAGUUCCCUUC